UUGUCUUCUAAAUAAAGACCAGUAUGAACGGCUAAAUGAGGACAAACCUGUCUCUUAUAACUAAUCAGUGAAACUGAUCUUCCAGUACAAAAGCUGGAAUAAAAACAUAAGACGAGAAGACCCCGUGGAGCUUAAAACAAAGCACUAACUACUUCAAGCCCUAGUGCCCUGUUUUGAGUUGGGGCGACUUCGGAACAAAACAAAACUUCCGAGCACAGAACCACCAGUUCCAACUAAGGCCAACAAGCCAAAGUAUAAAACUGACCCGGCCCACGCCGAUCAACGAACCAAGUUACCCCGGGGAUAACAGCGCUAUCUUCUUCAAGAGUCCCUAUCAACAAGAAGGUUUACGACCUCGAUGUUGGAUCAGGACACCCAAAUGGUGCAGCCGCUAUUAAAGGUUCGUUUGUUCAACGA
rnacentral:rRNA from 1 species